GUUUUUUUAAAACCUCUUUUUUGUUUUGUUUUUAUAAAAGAAAUCAUAAUGAGGGAGUGAUCAUUGCCUUCAAAUCUAAGCCUCUGCUUUGUGGCUGGUUGCCUAGAGGGAAAAGGACCAGCCUGCAGCAUGGAAGGAAUUAAAAAAGGCUUAUAGAAACUUUGCUACUGGUGUUGUUGGCAGCUUUCUUUUUUUUCCACCUCUCUCUCUCCCUACUGAUGAAGCAUAGCUGCGCUUGGAGAGAUACCUUUCCCAGCUUACUGUGUCUGUUGCCUAUAGAAGCAAAAGGAGGAGAGCGAGAGCGAGAGAGACGGUUGACGGAGGCUGCUGUGGUUCAGCCAUCCAGAAGAUAUAUGGAUCUGUCUCAUCCGUGCAGGAAAACCAUCAGCAGCACAGUGAGAGCAGGACCAUCAACUAGUGUCUAAGGAAUUAAGCAGCGCCCCUCUGCCUGUCGCAAUGCAAAACCCUGGCGUGUAAAAGAGACGAGAGGAAAGUGUACUUUCUCCUUGGAAAGCCUAGUCUUCCAGCUCAAGCGACAAAACAACAGCUGGUCUCUUUUUCUUCCAAAGCACCUGCAUCUUAGAGGGGAUGCUUCCAGGACACCUUGCAGAAAGCAGUCUAGGGUACACCUACCAAGGAGGUGUCUUGAGGGGUCACUCCUCUGCUCCUGCUUACGAUGAAAGGUAAUUGGCUGCACUUGUCAAAAUCCAACUGUUUUUAUCUCUGUGCCAAGGCUUAGUUAGAAGAAUGUGCUAUUUUAUGCAUUUGAUAUGAAAGGAGAAAAUAGACUAUCUGCCACCAAAAAAGGAAAGCUAGUACUUCCAAUUGAUGGUGCCUUUUCUUUUUCUUUUAAAAAGCAUGCAUUAAGGUAUCAAUUUUCUUGGUGUCUGUGCUUUUUCAGGGGGAAGUAAAGAGAUUAUGUGUGCUACAAAUGAGCUAAGCAAAAGUAUUGAUUUCACUAGUCAGAUUAAGCCCAGACAGCUUGUUUUGGGAACAGGCGGCCUUCAAAAACGCACUAAAUGCUACAGCAGCAGAGUGUUUUGACUAACUUUUUCUGCAAGCAGUACCGACUUAAUUUCUAGCCCCACAAAUAUUCACAAUAAUACUAUGCUGUCCACUCUAAAAAUCAUCCCAAUCUGAGAUAACCUAAAAUGCUAAAAGUGAUCCUUUUAAAAAGAUGGUUAAUUUGUUUGUGCUUGGUGAAAAUAAGACAGGAUAGGCUGACUUGUUUGUAACCGCAAGAAAGAUGUUUACUGCAGUUGCUUAGCUAACAAGAAGAGUCUUGUUAUUCAAUCUCUAGAGCUGUGGAUAAAUAAAUUGAAUUGUAGAGUUGGAAGGGACUCCAAGGGUUAUCUAGUACAGCACCCUGCAAUGCAGGAAUCAUAUCUCCCCUCUUCAUUUGUAUGUAGGGGCACUUAGGGGCAAUUAGCUCAGGAGCACAGGAAAUUGUGAUCUUUUAAAGCUUUUUAGAGUUGUGGACAACCUGCCACCCUCCAGAAGAUGUUGAAGGAAGCCUCCAACUCCCUUCAGCCCCAGCCAGUGUGGCCAACAUUUGGGGAUGAUGGGAGUUGGAAUCUAGCAACAGCUGGAGGGUUGCAGGUUCUGCAUUCUCACUAUAGAGUUAGGCAUCCAGUGAGUUGCUUAACUGAGGAGUACUUUUGCGGAAAGAUCUACAAAUCUUCGAAUAUGGGAUAAAGGUGUCAUGUUGUAGUAGUAUUCAUGGUUCUUCCUCUUUUAUCCUCACAAGCCCAUGAGGUUAAUUAAACUGAGAGAAGGUCGCUGGCCCAAGGUUACCCAGUGAGAUUCAUAACUGAGUGAGGAUCUGAACCUGGAUCUCUUCCGAGUUCAACACUGGGACUGCUAGAAUGUGUGUGUGUUUUAUUCACCAUAAACUACUUCAAGAUCUUCUGGUAGCAAAUGGUCUAUAAACGGAAACAAUAAGUAAAUAAAUAAAUAAAUAAAUACUCCCAUCAGCCCCAGAAUGACCAAUGGUCAAGCAUGAUGGGACUUGGAGUCCAACAACACUUGGACUCCUCACUCCUCAUGCAAAGUAGGACAUUUGGCUAUACUGUCCUUGGGAGAUCUGGCUCAGGGGGGUUCCAAGGCGAGUGUCUGUGGGUCAAGGCACUUCUGGUUAACAGACUCUGCCUCUGGCUCAGGAUUGGUGACAGGGUCUGGAUAAUAAUAAUAAUAAUUUUUUUAUUUAUACCCCACCCUUCCCGGUUCAAAAACUGGGCUCAGGGCCCCUAACAACAAAUUUAAAACACUUAAUUGUAAAAGCAGUAUAAAAUACAGUAUAAAAACAUGAAUAACAAUAAAAUUAAAAAUUUAGAAAUCAGUUUAGGGGAAAUAAGCAUUAGAUCAUCCCCAGGGCUAGCUGGCUGAAUUGGUCCUACUUGGGCCAGUGAGGAGGCCAGGGGAGAAUUAGCUGUGGGGUCUCAGAGCGGGUAAUCUUCAUAAAAGGGGAGCGGGAGGGAAGAGAAGGGAAAUAAAAGAUCAGGCUGAGUUCAAAUUAAAGGCUGGGCGGAAUAGCUCUGUCUUACAGGCCCGACGGAAGGAGGUUAAAUCCUGAAGGGCCCUAGUCUCAUGGGACAGAGCAUUCCACCAGGUCGGAGCCAUCACUGAAAAGGCCCUGGCCCUGGUGGAGGAUAGUCUGACUUCCUUAGGGCCCAGGACCUCUAAAUUAUGGUUAUUCAUGGACCUUAAGGUCCUCUGCGGGGCAUACCAGGAGAGGUGGCCCCGUAAAUAUGAGGGCCCUAAGCCACAAAGGGCUUUAAAGGUCAAGACCAGCACCUUGAACCUGACCCUAUACUCCACCGGGAGCCAGUGCAGCUGGAAAAGCACUGGGUGAAUAUGCUCCCAUGGCAGAGACCCUGUGAGGAGCCUCGCUGCAGCAUUCUGCACCCGCUGGAGUUUCUGGGACAGUUUCAAGGGCAGCCCCACGUAGAGCGAAUUACAGUAGGCAAGCCUGGAGGUGACCGUCGCAUGGAUCACUGUGGCCAGGUCGGGGCGGGAAAGCUAAGGGACCAACUGCUUGAUGCGGCAAAGAUGGAAACAUGUCGCCUUAGCUCUUGCUGUAACCUGUGCCUCCAUGGAAAGGGAAGCGUCAAGGAUUACACCCAAACUCUUAACAGAUGGAUCCAGCACCCUUAUGAAUUCUGUCCCUGGCCCUUCUGAUCUAGUUGAUUCCUCUGCAGAAAAGAACAUUUGCAGCGUGGGUUUAUCUGUAGCCCUACCAUGCUCCCUACAAGAACUUUACUGUUCACAAAAAGAAACUCUAUUGUACGCAAAGAAAUGGGCUCUUCGGCAAAAGAAAACAAGGAAGCCCUUGUGCAAGGAAGCAUGCACAGACUUUUCAGCUGGGUCUAUUCAUUCAAAUCGAUUUGACUCCCCCAUAAUUUAUUUGAUCCGUAUGUGCAAAGCCUCCCCUGUGGCAUUCCUUAUAAUCUUCUACAAGUCAGGAGGUGUUCUGCAUGAAGAUUCCCUCUUGCCCUCAUCACAGAGCAUUCCCUGACACAGAAGACAAGGCAGGAAGUCCAUGCACACACAUAGUUUUGUGAGCAAAUCAGAUUCUUCCCUUGCAAGGAACUGAGCAACUACUCUUAAGACUGGAGCAUAAAACGAACCACAGGCAUCCAUGCUAAACUCCCAGCCUCAUUGAAUUAUCUCCACUCCUUAAUCUCUUCCAUUUAUUAGAAGUGCCUUGUAGAGGCUCAUUAAUUUGGGGCUCUUGUUUCGUAAUUGAUUAUUACACAUGAACUUCAGGUUAAUAACUUUAGCAUAAUGCCACCUAAUUUUCAGAAGUAACAUCUGUGACGCAUAUUAUUUCAUUACCAAAAAUGGUCUGUUAGGAUUUGAUGUGAACUCUGCCUUUUACAGCAGAAAGAGCUGCAGAAGACAAGAGAGGUGGCUGUCACCACUGUCAUGCCACACACCCUCCUCUGCCAGGGGGUGCUCUGCCACCACCCAAAACUACCCUGUACCACUUCUCGCUCUUAACAAGACGUAUGGCUCUGAGCUGUGUUUCUUAUGGGUAACUCUAUAACCUGCUUCCACCCCAAAUUAUAUUUAUCUGAAUAAGUGGGUGGGGUAUAAUAAUAAUAAUAAUAAUAAUUCCCCUAAUGUUAGCAAAGUAUGAGGCAUGUGGUAUAAAGCAAUUAAUUUAUGGAAGAGGAAUCAUAAACAAUGGCUGUGCGAUUGAGGAUUGUACCUAAGCACAUAGUUUCAAUCUGUUUAUCUUAUUUGUUGCUUUAUUUUAUAUACAACAGUAGCUACUAUAAUACUGAUACUAUAUUAGAUGACUAACCCUGCUUCACAUCCGCCACCAACUCUCACACAGUCUACCACCCACCCCCAAAUGCAACUCCGUUGUCAACUCAACUCUCAACUCGACUCCAAACCCUCUCAGACUAGUAUUCAAACUCCCUUUCAAAACUCCCAACCAAUCACUGCUCACUAUCAGCAUUCCAAACUCAUCCCCUCCCUCUCAUCUUAGUUCCUCUAAUUUCUUUUUUUUAUUAAUUGCAUUUAUAUGCCACCUUUUUCUCCAAAGAGCUCAAGGUGGUUCUCUCCCCCCCCCAUUUAAUUCCCACACCAACCCUGUGAGGUAGGUGAGUCUGAGAGGCAGUGGCUGGCCCAAGAUCACCCAGUGAGUUUCAUGGCUAAGUGGAAAUUUGAACCCUGGCCCUAGUUUAACCCUUUAACCAGUACAUCACACUGGCUCUUACCUAUGCUUACCAAUGUAUUUACCUUACUUACUCUAUUGAUAUAUGUGCUUAUAAUGUACAAAAACACCUGAACCUUGCAAUCACAUUUAACCUCUCCAUAUUGCAACCCAUGUCAUGAUAUUCAAUAGGAUCCAAUUGCUUCCUCCAAUAGUAAACUCGGUACCCCUUUGCUAGUAAGGAGAAACAAGAGGGAGACACCAGGAUGCUCAAGGGAACCUUGAAGUUUGCAGAAGUACUGAAAAAACAACAACAACAACCACCUAAUGUCAACUAACCAUUUUCAGUGGCAGCUAAGGUGUAGAGGAAUGUGAAUGAGCUGGCUUGAGCCCAUCACAGUUGGGGUAUGAUGGAGAAAGGCAUGGCUGGCUGCAACUCUGAAAAGGACUCAAGCACGCUCCUGUUAGGGAGCAAUACUACAAACUUUUGUUGCAGAGCCCGUUUGCUAUCUCUACUUAACUUCUGUGUGAUGUCUGAUCACCAUAUUUAAAUGGGUACACUUAUUUAUGCCAUUUUAACGUGCAUGUGCUAGACAGUAAUUCAAUUAUCUAUGCAAGUCCUUAGAUAUCUAGUACACUGCUAGAUCUCAGAGAGUAGACACAGCAUAGUACUCUCUACCUGAGCUGUAGGAGCCACACCUUGAAGAAUGCUUAAGGAUGCUGAUGGCUGACUCCGUGCGUAUAGAAUGUGUUUAACAGUGUGUUAAAUAAGGCAAAUGGAGUUUUCUCUGGCAGGGCUAGAUUAGGUAAUUAAGAUUGUGCUUUGGAUGACUUAGACCAGGCAAAUAAUCAAAGUACUAUUACGUACAGGAGUUCUCAUGUAUUACUGCCAAGACUUACUCCUGGUUUAUGCGCUAAGGAGGGUCACAAGUUCAAACUAUAACUUUGUUCUUUGUGUCCCAAGUCUGGGCUUAACCUUCAAGAGCAUUUUUAAAACGAUGGCAAGGCUGAACUCCUCGGUAGCACAUCUUUGCUCCUGCUUCCGACAGACAUUCAUAAAAACAUCUGGGAAAGCUUAUACAUGUACAGAUUGUACAUCCAUGGGUUCCGUCGGUAUGACAGGGGGAAUAGACCAUUUGUAUGGAGCCUACACACAGAACAGUUUAUAUGUGUGAUGAAUACACAUAAGAGUGCAAGAGCAAGGACAAUGGGUGUGAUCCCAUCCCUCCUACAUGUGCUCAUUUUCAAGUGUGAACUGGAAUCUGGCCAGCCAACCUAUAUCUUUUAAUUAGUGCAGUGCAAAAGAAAAAGAGGGAUGCAGGUGGCGCUGUGGGUUAAACCACAGAGCCUAGGACUUGCCGAUCAGAAGGUCGGUGGUUCGAAUCCCUGCGACAGGGUGAGCUCCCGUUGCUCGGUCCCUGCUCCUGCCAACCUAGCAGUUCGAAAGCAUGUCAAAGUGCAAGUAGAUAAAUAGGUACCGCUCCGGCGGGAAGGUAAACAGCGUUUCCGUGCGCUGCUCUGGUUCGCCAGAAGAGGCUUUGUCAUGCUGGCCACAUGACCCAGAACGCCAGCUCCCUCGGCCGAUAAAACGAGAUGAGCGCCGCAACCCCAGAGUCAGCCACGACUGGACCUAAUGGUCAGGGGUCCCUUUACCUUUAAAAGAAAAAGUGAACAAUAAACCUUGCCCCUGAUCUUCCACCAAUUAAUGGGAGAAGAAAUUGCAUCCAACAGGGUGGGGGUGGGAAUCAGUAAAAUUUUAAUGGACUGGGUAUAGGGUUUUGGGUGUGCUUCUGUUAUUGCUGAGGUGGCUGAGAGGUGCAUGCAAGUGCCAUUAAUUUGGGUUGAGUAGACCAUUGAAGUUAAUGGAAACUGCUAAAUUAAGGACAUUAAAUUCAGCAGGCCUACUCUGAGAACUUGGUUGGAUGCAACCCUUUCAUUCUGCAAAUCAUCCCUCCUUUUGUCUGCACUAAACAGGCUUUCCUAGGGUGCUCAUGCUUCAGUCAAAGCUCAUGGGAAAAAAACCCUGAGAAAACUCCUCCUAGACAUUUUUCUCAGAUCAGGAACUGUGGACAGCAUGGGAACCUGCAGAGAACUGGACAAAUAUUUAGCCUUUGGCCACAUUGCAGUGAUAAGGAAAGCUCAAAACCCAAGGCUGAAGGAAGUUCUAAAGGAAUUUAAAAAUUACUGUGAGAAUGAAGCAGAUAAAUUGAAGCCUUAUUUGCAGAGGAAGAGAACUUAUGAGAAACUGCGAGUACAGAUUUUGGCAGCGCAGUAACUUUCCUUUUAUUACCAAGAGAUUCUCUACAAUCAAAAAGAUUAUGUGAAAGUUUGCUUAAUAAUAUAGUCUCUUUCUCUGUCUUUUUAUAUCUUUAUAGAAAUAUCAUGUUGGCUACUGGUACUGCUGUCAUUUUGGUCAUCUGAAGGUGGGAAGUGGAAAAACACCAGACUCUAGUUCUUCUGAAUAUAGUCACUGAUGUUUGCCUUCUAGUGAAGACAGGAGUCUGCUUCCAAAAGUAACCAAAGCAGACUUUUGCAAGGUAACUCAUGGAUCUGUGAGCCAUUGGGUGACACUGUUGGUAGGAGAUCCUUACCCCCCAAACUCCAUUGAGACGUUUAUUCCUUACUGAAGAGAACACAAAUAUUUUUCAGCCAGGAAGGUUUUUUUAAAAGUAGAAAAAAACCACCACCCAGAAGGAACCUUUGAUUGAUUCUGCCAUUUCCUUAGGCAAAGCCAUGUGAGAAGAUGACCCUCUGAUGAGAACUAUUCCUCUAUACAAGGCAAAGACUUCAGCCCAUCCAAUAUUGAUGCAUGAAUUACCUCCUAAUCUAAUCUUUAAAACACUAUCAAAGAAGAAGUAAGGAAUUCAUGAGUGAACAGAGAAAAUGGAAAAGGCCUGAGUAAGAAAUGACUGAGGUCUAUUUCAGAUUCCGUGGAAAUCUUACUGGUCGUGCCCACCCACCCCCAACCCUGGCUACAGGAGUGGCAAAUGCAGAUAAAUACUCCAACUUGUAUAUGUAUGUAGGGUUGUUUCUGACCCUACUGGCCAUCCUACUCAUUCUACUUUUCACCAUGCUCCUGCGUCUGAAACACGUCAUCUCCCCUAUUACCACAUCUCCAGAGAGCACCGAGAACAUCCAGCAGUUUACAGAUGUUGAAAUGCAUGGCAGGAUCCCCAGUACUUAGUGGGCUGGAGGCUGGGAAGCAACUGGUUGCAAAAAAAGAUUGUCUGUGAUGAGAAACCAAUUUCAUAUGGUGGAGCGUGUGGAGUGGAAGUUCUGGACAGCCUUGAGGGAUGCACUGGCAGAGGGUUGGCCUGGAUGGCCUUUGAGGUCCUUUCCAACUCAGUGAUUCUACAUAGAAUUCAGUUUGCCUUGGAAAUGGCAAGACAAGUAUCCAGCAAGCUUAGCUUGACACUAAGAGCUGUAAGCAGCAUGUGCUGUGAUGUUUGGUUUCAAACAACCUACAUAUAGACAUAUGGAGCUGCUUUAUAAUGAGCUGGUAUAAUCUGGCCCUGUACUCAUCGUUCUGGACUGAUAAGAGCUCUCCAAAACAGCCCAGGUGACUGGUUUUUUUGCAGGAGAAAAUAGAGGACUCCUGGACUUAACGAUGAAUAAAAGCAAUAGAAGGAACUAGCACUGUAUCAAAACCUGUUUGCCUAUUUCUCCCUCUGUGAAAGAGGUUGCAGGUUUAUCUGCCUCAUUCUCAGGACACUUGAACACUUCUUCAGAAUUCUGGUAGCUGUAGAAUUGAGACACCCUUGGGUGGUAUGGGAGCUUUUCAUUCCAAUAAACACUUCUCGGUGCUUCUGCAGCCUCCCUAGCUGCCUGUGCUUCUGAAAGAGCCCCAUGGGAGAAACUACCGUAUUUUUCGCUCUAUAAGAUGCACCAGACCACAAGACACACCUAGUUUUUGGAGGAGGAAAACAAGAAAAAAAAUAUUUUGAAUUUCAGAAGCCAAAAUAGCAAGAGGGAUCCCUGAGCAAUGAAAGUAGCAAUCCCCUUUGCUGUUCUGGCUUCUGGGAUAGCUGCACAGCCUGCAUUUGCUCCAUAAGAAGCACACACAUUUCCCCUUACUUUUUAGGAGGGAAAAAGUGAGUCUUAUAGAGCAAAAAAUACGGUACUUCAUGACUUAUUUCUGGGUUUUAAUUGAAGCAUGGGAAACCUAGGAAAACUAUUACUGAGUACCCGAGACUGCUGUGCUUACAGAUUUUAUUUCUAAGAGAUAUAUUUCCUUUUUAACCUUUCCACACUGAUUUCUUUAAAAGUACAAAGACUUCACUUUAAAAAAACCAGUUGUCAGGUGCACAGUGGGCAACCUCCUCACCUUCCCACACCUUAAGAAAAGCCCAGCUGAUGAUGUCAUGGCGUUGUCAGGAAGGGCACCCAGGAAGGCUGCAGAGCACAGACUACUGGGGAGAUGAUUUGUAGAGUGAUAUAAAGCACACUCACAAACAACUCUAGGCCACCUUGAAGGUAAGUGCAACAAAAACAUAACAAAUCUCCCCACAGAUUCUUUUUAAUGCAAUUUCUUGGGAGAAAUGCAGGAGAAUUUUUCAGUAGAGCAUGAGAAGCAAUAUAAGCAUUAACCACAAGAUUAAAUACUAUAUAGCUUCAUAGCUUUUCUUGGUUAUAACCAGAACCAGUGCAUAAUACAGUGUGAGUGAUGUAUUCUUGAAGGUCAUCUUUGCACCCAAAGAGAUUCUGUCUCUGCUAACAUGAACAGUGGCUUGGUAAUUCUGCAUGGCUCACCACAGGAAAGCAAGGAAGUCCUAAAUCUUUCUCUCUCAAGUAAUUUGCAAAAUCUAGCUUUCCUGCAAUAUACACAUUCCAGUACAGCAUUCUGUUCCAAGACCAGAACAAUUCUAAAGAAUGAGUUCCUGGUUCACUUAAACUGCAGGAGCCAAUCCCCAUUGGCUAGAUUAGUUUGUUCCACUAAAAUUAACAGGAACUGCUGUGUAUGUGUCCUAUGCACUAGGAUCUCCGGAUUGGCAAAAAUAACAUUCACACUUUUGGAUACUAAUUUGCCAAUCUAUCAAUGAGUUGGGCAACCUGCACUGGCUCCAACUGAAAAAUAAUAAUGCUAAAAUACACCCUUUCUUUAAUCCAUCUGGAUACUAUUCCCUCUAUUUCAGGUUCCUUCCCCAAAUCUUUGAGGCCUCUUGGCUUUCGAUGUGACUGUGGUACCAAUUGGUGCCUUGUGGUUUCCUCUGAAAGGACAGCCCUGCUGGAUAAAACCAAGGACCCAUCUAAUCCAGCACCCAAUUCUCAUAGUAGCCGGCCAAUGGGAAGCCCAUGAGCAGGACAUGAGCACAACAGCACUCUCCCCACUUGUGAUCCCCACCACACCCCACCCCACCCCACCCUCUUGGCAUGCCACCUCUGAUACUGGAAACAAUAAACAGCUACAAUGCUCCUGCUUCUCUCUGCCGCCCAGGUCAGACCUGGCUCAGGAGCACAGCUGAGGCUGGGUGUGAGCGCUCGCUUGGGGGCAGCAGGGGAUGGCGGCCCCCUCAAUUAUUAUUUUUUUGGGGGGGGGGAGGCUCAGCCUCCUGCCUAGAAAUAUUAAGGGAGCUGAAGCCCCUUCUGCCCCCACAGCUGGCGUUCCUCCUUGCUACUGCUGCAACUCCCUGUCCAUGUGUUCUUUUGUGUGGACCUUGUUCAUAAAAACAGACACAGGGAAUAGUAGUAGUAGUAGUAGUAGUAGUAGUAAUAAUAAUUUAUUUGUUUAUAUGCCGCCCAUCUGACAGGGUUACCCCAACCACUCUAGGCAGCUUCCAAAAAAUUAAAACACAAUGCGACAUCAAAGUGCAAGACUAGUCACCUCUUGCUGGCAAGCAAGCUGAACAAGGUGAAUGGGCAGUGACUGCAAAAAGGAAAGGAGGAGAGCCUGCGGACUCUAAAAGUGGGCAAUGGGGUCCCUUCUGGGAAAUGGGACCUGAUAAGCACCCAACAAUGCCUACCCUGAAAAUUUGACACUGCCAAAUAAAUGAAUAUACAAGGUGGAGAAAAGUCUUUCAACUAUAAUGGGUCUUGGGGGGCAGCACUCAGGAGGUUAUUCUUAGCAGGUGAGUAGAGGUAUUAUUGCAUACAAGCAUAUCUCUUUUAAAUGUUCUUUCAGAGUGAGCACCUGAAGCUUACCUAGCAACAGAAUCCAUCUGUAUAGCAGUGUGCUUAUGAAUUACACUAACUAAUCAGCUAACGCAGUCCUCUUUGUUGUUUUUUUCAUUAGAAGGUGAUAUCUGCAAAGCCAUCUGUGUUAGGUGUGUAACAUUUCAGGGACAUGAACUAAUCUCAGCUCCAUUUUGCAAUCUAGCCUAGAAAUAAAAUCCCAGAGGGUAUUCUACUAUAUAGCAUUCAUCUGCCAAUUCCCCUCUCUCCAUGAAGUGCAAAUUCCCCAAACCUGAGCCACGCUAAAAUUAGCAGUCAUACACACACUCUUGCUUAUGACAAUAACAAGACCAUGUUUCAUCCAAUGCUCUGGAAAUGAUGGUGUGUUUUGUUUUGUUUUCAAACAAAAGAUGGGUGAAUCUGUCCAUUUCAGUUUCUCCUCCCAGUUUCUCAUUUUUUUUCAGUCCUAAGUUUGGUUCUCCACAUGUCCAUAUUAGUUUGUGAUUUAUUUACUGUAUUUUUUAAAUACAAUAAAUUUACCAGCAUUUUAGUGGGAAUUUCUCCCAAUAUACACAUUUGUAUACAAUUUUGCCCAAUACACUUUUUUUUUCAAAGCAGUUUUCCCUAAAUUAAUAUGUUUGUGUAUAUUAUUUUUUACUAAUAUUUGCAUUGUCAUGCACACUUUGCUGCAGUAUACGCAGUUUUGUACAACAUUACUUGUCUGGAGAUCUGCAUUGCAAAAUUCAGAGAUGACUGGGUUUGCUUAUUGUUCUGGAAAAUUUGAAUGAGGCAGGUUUGCCUUUAAAUGCUAAUUUCCCCUCAACCACUAUUUUUAAUACACACACAUGGUUCAUUCUUGAUGGGGUGUUACUUUUCCCUUGGGAGUUUGGGCUAAUAUUGUGUAUGGGGUGGGGGACUACUAGAAUACAGCUGCUCCUAUUUAUAUCCAUAGCACCAGCUUUAUGCAACCCUUCUGAUAAGCAAUUAUCUCUGUGCAACCUAAGCUCGGUCUCCAAAGCACUGAAAGAAAGCCAAGGCCAUAGUAUCUGCUUUGCAUCCAGGUGUUCAGCACAAUGAGUUCUUUUUCAUAUACUGUAACCAUCAGAGAAUUACCUGUGAGAUUUCCCCCCACACUGUAAAUUUUAAAAAACCUGACUGUAUAUUAAACUAUAUAUUGUAUGCAGGAUUAAUACUUAACAUUGUCAGAAAUUACAAUCCUAUUUAUCAUUAUAAAUAUCCAUAUUUUCCUGUC